rnacentral:lncRNA from 1 species
GCGUGGUUAUUUUUUUUUUAGAGAUAGAUAACACGCUAUCCGCUUCGUUUAUUUCAUUAAAAAAUAAAUUUAGCUAAAAAUAUGAAUCAAUUAGAAUUUGAACUUAGGUCUCGGGUACCAACCACCAAGCUCUUUGACAUUGCUUUAGGGACGGUCGAUAGCGUGGUUAUUAAAUAGGAAUAAUUGUCUAUACACCUUUCAAAACUUAAAAAAUAUCUUAUUUAUUUUUAGUCUUUUUUUUUUUCAAUAUACAUCUUAUAUAUUCCUCUGUUAUUUUAAAAUACUGCUCCAGUUACCACCUGUUAAAUUAGCUUGGGUUAAACGCGAGUUAAAUAUCUAUUAGAGUUAGAAAAAAUCAAAAUGUUUCUUUUGCUCUUAACUUAAAAGACAAAUAAGAAAUGUUGAUGAUGGUAAAAGAAUAUAUUUGAAAAGACCAAAAAUCAAAGUAAUUUUUGUAUUCUUAAUUUAAGGGCAAAUAAGAAAAGUCAGUGAUGAUAGAAAGAUAUAUUUGAAAGGGCAAAAUAGUAAUUUUAUAGAAAUAGCAUGUAUUUUAAUAGUUCAUUAACAGAAUUUAAAGAUAUAUUUGAAAUAUAUUAGAACGUAAAAAGAGUGUUUUCAAUAUUAACUUUCUACGAGGGGUAAAUCAGAAAGUCGAAAAUCUUUCAGAAAUAUAUAAGCAAUUGCUCCUAUUAAAUAAGGCAUUUUAGCAUCAUUUUUUUUUAAAAUUUUUUAUGAUAAAGAGUUAGUUUUAUUAGAGAAUAUUUGUGUGGCUCAAAACACACACAAAAAUAAAAAGAAUUUUUGAAGUGAUUUUGGUGGAGUGAACUUUCAAUGAAAUUGCCUGCUUUCUCCGGAAGUAGUCACUUGGUGGUGACCUGUUAUUAACAAUCACUUUCGUCAGCGAUCCUCCCUAGAGUAAGUGGUAAAGAAUUUGGUGAUUAGUAUCCGAGAUUCCAAAUUCGAAUUCUAGUUACUUCACAUUUUCAGUUAAGUUUAUUUCUAAAUGAAACGAAACGGAUAGCAUGCUACCUAUCUCUUAAAACAACCACUUUCGUCCAUGCUCAACCAGUGAGUCGUCUUGCAAUCAAGCUCCCUUCUGCUUUUGCUUUUGAGGAUCAAUUUUUGUCCGCCUCGUCCUGUCCCGACCUGUCCCGUUUGAUUGAAAAAAAUAUAAUAAUAGAAAAGAAAAAAAAAAAAACUUCGCAUGUUUUUAUUAUCUUUUAGGAGGACUUUAUAUGCUAUGCAUUACAAAAUUAUCUAUUUGAAACUGGCCCACGGUUUACGUUCGCUAAUUUAUAAAUAUUAUUUUAAAAGCUAGGAUGAUGAUGAUAUCAAAAGCUCAUAUAUACAUAUAGGCCUGAAAAAAAGAAAAUUACAAUUUGAGAACUUUUAUCAUAUGAGACGCAAUUGCUUACCACUGCUGUGAUUUGGACUCUUGAUCUCGUCUUUAUCAUUUUUAUAAUUUACUGUUUGAAUAUUUUUAGUAGUUUAGAUCAAAUUUAUCAUUGUAAAUAAAAAAGGAUAAAAUCGCACAAAAUAUAUCUAAAAUAUGUAUCAUUUUGAAUCAGUUAUCUAAUUUUUUAGCUUGUUUAAUUUAGUUAGUAUAUUUCAUAUAAUUCUCACAAAUAUGAAUUUAUUAAAAUAAGUAAUUAGCUUGCUACCAUCUCAAAUCAAAUAAAUUAAUAUGUGGGGCAAUAAAAAUUAUAAUUUUGAAAGAUUGAAAAAUUUAUUCAAAAUAAUUUAUAGUUUAAAUAAGUUCUGUACGGCUCUACCAAUAAAAGAAAUAUAAGUAGGGUUUUUUGAAAUGCCAAUUGUGAAAGGAAUGCAUGGCUUUUACUCUUUAAUUCAAGUGGUCCAUGCACCUGCAAUUCACAUGCUUGGUUUAAACCCAUGUGGGUGUUAAAAAAGAUGUGUGAAAAUUAUGAAAAUGGAUAAAUAUUCAGAUCAAAUUCUAGUAACUGUAAGAGUUUAAAAAAAGUUCAUCAAUUUUUAUAAAUUACUGAUGCACCCUUUCUCAAAAUAUCUCAACACCGUAUUGUAUCGAGUACGACUAACCCUACAAAAUUUUUAAUUAUAAAAAUAAACAUCUAAAAUUUUUAUUAUGUAACUAGAGUUAAGCGUGCCCAAAUUUACAUAUUUUCUAUAUCUGAACCCCAAAUAAUAUAUAGGUUUAACGUUUUGAAAAAACGGUAAAUAGUUUACCAUAUUUAAAAAGUAGUUUUCAAACAGUAGUCUAUGUAGAUGUAAACUAAAUUCUCGAUACUCUGCUAAAAAAAAAAAUUAAACUGAUUCAAAAAUUUAAGCUCAUAAAUAAAAACACAUAUUAUAUUAUAUAUUAUAUAAAGGACAAAAUUCAUGUCCUUUUCCAUUAGGGGGACAUUUUGUAGAAUAGACUAGAAUUUGAACAGAAAAGGCUAAAAUUCUGAAUUUUUUUUUUUUUCUGUAGAGAAUGGUAAACAACUGUUGUGUCGAAUUAUUAUUAUUUUUUAAAAAAAUUUAAACAUUUGUAGUUUGUAAAAAUAAAGAAUAAUAAAAUAGUAAAAUAAUAUUAAUUCUUUUAUUGGAUAUGCUUAAACUGCAAUAUAUGCACGAGACCUGCUGCCUCAAUAGAUCCAACCAGUCACAGCCAUAUUGAUGAGAAAUAAUUGUGUGCACUCGGUGUAUCCGUACAACUUAUGCACCACAAAAUUUUUGAUGGCUAGUAUUUUAAAAUCAAAAUAUAUGUCAUUUGCACUAUCUGAAAUGUUUAUGUAUAAAAAGUAAAAAAAAAAAAUCAAAAUAUAUGUCUAAAAUUUGUUAGUUUUUGAAUGUCUUCCGUUAAUGAACUAAAAUUUGACUUUAUGAGUUUUAUAUCAGUAUAUUGUUACUCAUUUUGCAUUAAGGACAGAAUUAUAUAUUGGAUCAAAAGUAGAUAGGAUGAAAUUAUAUAAUAAUGCGUUAAUCUCGUUUUUCAAUUGGAUAAUGAUCAAAAAGUUUCUAAUGAAACUAAUGUGGAUCGUGUAAGCAAAUAAAUUAUUAUUUUAUUAUAGUUUUUACUAUAUAUAUUGUCUGUAAUUUCAAUCGUAAUCUUAUAUCUAGUUUCGAAUAACAGUAUCAAAAGUAUUUGUCUUUAUGGGUUGGAGGAGAAAAAAAUUAGGAAUGUUUCUGAUUAAUGUUUUACGCCUUUCAAAAUAUGAAGAUAGGUGCGACACGUACAGAUGCGUGUAUAUAUUACAGUACGGCAUGGUGCGCACUGGGUGCAAAUUUAAACAGGUAUGUAUCAGCCACAGUGGAAAGCGGGCCCCACCCGCCACAGCAGGACCAGCAGGGCGGGUGGGGGAUGAGGCUGGCGCCCAGCGAGUGCCACGUCAUCAUGUCUCCCGGGAGAUAGUGGUGGCUCACUGUAGCCGGCCACUAGGCCCCGGAAAGGUAGCCCCCCCCNNNNNNNNNNNNNNNCCCCCCCCCCCCCACUCUAGACCCGGCCCACGAAACAUCCCCAUCGCGAGCCGGGCCCAUCGGAUCCGGGACCACACCCGAACCGCGCUCGCCGUGUUCCUUCUCUUUACCCCCUUCAGUGGCAAACCGGCAAUUUCCCACCAACCGCGGUGGCCUUUUCCUACCUACGAACACCUCCUCGCCCAAUGGCGCGGUCGACACCUUUAGUAGGGCGAAGCGGUGCGGGACCCAGCGCCCCAUGUGCCCGCGCCCGCGCCCGCCUCCGCUGCAUAUCACGGGCGGGCCCCACGCGUCAGCGACGGAGCCGGGGACAUACACCCGUUACACCGAGCGUCCCCCUCUGUGUCUCCACCGGCUCCUGCCGCUCAAUGAUUAGUCCUCUUCUCCCCUCCCUCCAUACUCCCAUACUCUUUGCUCUUUACUCUCUCUCUCUCUCUCUGUAUCUCUCUCUCUCUCUCGCUGUGUGUGCGCGUUUUUCCCUCUCGCGCAGGGAAUAAUUAAGCUGUUCGGGAGGUGAGUGAGCGGCUAUCGUAUCUCUAGUUCCGGGGAAAAGAUAUGACGGCGCCAGACGGCGCGACUAACGGGAAACGGAGGGAGAGGGAGAAGGGAAUGGUGUUCCGCGGCGCACGGGGCCGGUUUAUGCGGGAAUGGUAGGGGGAAACGGAACGGGAACGGGAACGGGAACGGGGCGGUGACGGGGAAGAAGGCGCCGUCGAAGGACCGGCACAGCAAGGUGGACGGGCGGGGAAGGAGGAUACGGAUGCCGAUCGUGUGCGCGGCGCGGGUGUUCCAGCUGACCCGCGAGCUCGGGCACAAGUCCGACGGGCAGACCAUCGAGUGGCUGCUCCGCCAGGCCGAGCCCUCCAUCAUCGCCGCCACCGGCACCGGCACCACGCCCGCCUCCUUCUCCACCUCCUCCUCCUCCUCCGCCUCCGCCUCCCUCCGCGGCCCCGCCCCCUCCGCCUCCGCCCCCUUCAUCCUCGGCAAGCGCCUCCGCUCCGACGCCGACGCCGCCGACAAGGAGGACGCCGCCGCCGCAGCAGCCGCAGCAUCGGCGGUCGGGGUCGGGGUCGGAAUCGGGCCCUCGGGAGGGUUCUGGGCGCUCCCGGCCAGGCCGGACUUCGGGCAGAUAUGGAGCUUCGCCGCGGCGGCGGCGGCGGCGCCGGAGAUGGUCGUGCCUCCGGCGAGCUUCUCCGGGAGGUUCGCCGCCGCGGCGGCGCAGCCGGUGGGGGAGGCGUCGGCGGCGAGGGUGGGGAACUACCUCCCCAUCGCGCAGGGGCACCUCAACCUCCUCGCCACCCUCUCCGGGGCCCCCGCCGCCACCUCGGCGGGGCGGAACGAGGACGAGAGCCGCUAAUUCGGCGCGCGGGCCCCGCGCCAUCUCUAGGGUUAGGGUUUCCAAUUUUUAGAUUCGGAGAGUGAUGUCGAAGGUUCAACAAGUAGCUAGAGUGUUCCUCAUUGUCCAACUUAUCCUGCUUUUCUCCUCUUCGCAAGAAAAGGUAUUGGAAGAGAGACAAAAAUAGAAAAGGAGGAUUAAAUGCUCUCUCUCUCUCUCUCUCUCUUUCUGUCUCUCUCUCUCUGAAUUUGUGUGGAGAAUUCAGAAGGGAAACACCCCCCCCCAAAAAAAAAAAAAAAGCUUCUGGAUUUGCCCUGUAAGUUCUCUCUGUGUUCAAGUCCAUCUGUAAUUUAGUCAUUUUUCAUGGAUUUAUUAUUAGCAUUUGGGAAUAAUUAGUUGUUUGUAACUGUGUAUGUAUUUAUGGAUUGUUUGAUGGUGCAUGAGUGCCAAUAAAAACUGUACCUUUUUUUAUUGCUGCUAAGUCACUUUCUCUUGUGCCAUGUUUUUUCCCCCAUCACAGCUGUUCUCUAUUGAAUGAUAUCUCACCAACCAUUGUUAGUGGUGUUACAAUUUACCUGUUAGAGGACUUGUUUUCACUGGUCGUAGGAGCAGGUAAUUGGAGUUACAAUAACACUCUAGUGAGAUUGCUGCUAUGUAGUGGCAAACAAGUUCUCAUUGAGGGAAUCUCUUUAAAGUGUUCUUUCCUUUUUGUGAUGUGGGCAAUUCAUAAAAGUGGCAGGACUAAUAUUGGGAUUUUCCAUUAAAGUUGUGUUGAAUCAUCAUUUCCUGUGCUUCAUCCUGAUUUCUUCAUUGGGGUUGUAAUACACUAACAAAGGUCCACAUUUUAUCCAUUCUUUUUAUGCAUCGCGUCGUCUUUUUGUCUACUUUUACCUCAAAAAGUUGUUUUUGUAUCCGUUUCCGAAGUUCUUCGUUGAUCUACAUAGUAGCUUGUGUAUGUGCUUUUCUGCUUCUGCUUCUACUUGAUUUUUCUCCUUACUGCAUCAUUUUGUGGCCUUGUUUUGGAGUUCUCUUUCAAUCUAAAAUGCUAUGUUGCUUGUAAUGAGCCGCCUCGUAGUGAAAGUUGUUAGGGAGAUUGGCUCCAUUUAUAUUAACAGCUUAAGUUCAUAGGUUUGGGCCUGGUCGUAUAUAUCGACCCUUUACUGUUUCCGCGCAGGACUCUUUUCGCAUAUGAAUUUGCAGCUUUAGUAUAUUAUUGAUCAAGGCUGUCGUAGGCGUGAGUAGGUGCACACUGAAGCAGUCUUCAUCUUGUUAAGGAAACCUGAAAGGGUGGUCCUCACUAUCUAGUAUUUUCAAUAAGUUGACCUUUCUUUUUGCAUCUUGGUACAAGAAGUCUUUAUUGGGUGGUCCAUGUUUCUUAGUCUUUUUGAUAAGUGAGGGUUAGGUGCCUCAGAAGAUGCAUAUUCUAAGUUAAGACAAUGGACUAAUUGGGUUAGGUCUGUAUGGAAUUUGAAAUCAAAACAAUUUCUUCUCCGAACGGUCAUGACAAUCACCUGGGCUGGAUAAGCCCAAUGAGAAAUUUACUUAUUACGAUCGAAGAAAGUUGCAGCCUCUUGUAGGAUUCUGUCCGAUUUAAGUCGUGAAACCAUUUGGUCGAUGCACAAUAGAUGGUUAAUAUGAUCAAAAGCUUAAAUACUUCUUGGAAUUGUUGAAAUAAGUACUCCGAUACAUUCUGUAUAGUUCUAGCUUGCAUCUGUUAUGCCUCCAUGGCGAUUCCGAUGUGAGAAUAGAUCUUUCUUUCUGAAAAUGCGCUUUCAACCUUCUUUUUUCGAGAAAGAAAAUUGCAUUUUCAGUUUGAUCCAUUUUCAUUGCACUGCUGCAAUAUCUAAACCGCACAAGAUUAUCGGCCGGUAGUUAUUACUUGAGAAUUCCGGAGAGAAUCUUCUCGAACCGUAGCCGACUCAACCCAAGCCAUGAUUUAUCAACUAAUUUGGUGCCUAGAAUUCAGUUAUUCUCCACAUUGUGCUUGAAAACUCCUUCAGGCUUUAUCAAAACCACAAAUUGACUGUCAUAAUCUGAUGAUUAUUGUGCCAAGACAAGAUAUGCUAUGAACAUUCUACAUUUUGAGGAUUAAAUGGUCCUUCGAGUCGGCUAUCAGGAAAAGGUGCAAGAUGAAUGUAGUGUUGACAGCCAUUUAGGGUUCCUUUCGUGAUUUAUGUCUCUAAUCGGAGUCUUUCUAUCAGUAUCCUGUUUGGUUCGAGGAAAGAGACUUCUGAAAAUGCAGAUGCAGCAUUAAUUUGUUCAUCAUUGUGAAAAUUGUUGACUCUAAAGAGUGUUUCUGCAAUGUUUGUUCAUUGUGACAAUGAAAUGUAGCAAUGUGUCCUGUCCUAAAAGUUACAUUUGUUUUGAACCCCCCCUCUGUUUUGGUAAAUCAAGAAUCAAGAUUGCCCAUAUCUCUCAACCAUGCAUAGUAAAAAUUCCUAUAUUUUAAAUCUGUUGCUUGUUUCUUUUAGAGAUCUCUCUCAGGAUUAUGGCACAGCAAAUCUUUCUGGUUUCUCUUAUUAAAAGUUGUUUUCUCCCUAGUCAAAAGGGCGCAGAACUUCAUCUCUACUAUCCAUCGCUUUCCGCAUUUUAAUUUUACUGUUCAAUCUUUCAAUUUGUUUGAUUUUAAAAGUUCAGCUAAUUACUUUAUUGAAUUAUUGUUGUGAGAAUUUAUUAAAUCUGUAAAAAUAAACGGCGUAUUCGAAUUUUAAGUUCAAAGUAUUAUUAACUGAACUGGAUAGUAAAAUCAAAUUUUGAAAGAUUUGAUAGCCAACUCAAGAUGCUUCAUAGUUCACGUAAGUUUUGUACCUUCAUUGAAACCGUAAACAUUGACGAUGCGACACACAGCAACAGCGGUAGAAAAGCAAAAACCCCCAGAAGCCUCAAUCCUAGCUCCUACUUUGCACGGUGUUGGUCGCCCACACGGCGGCGCCGUAAAUGACGACGUUGCCGUCGCCCUGCACGACGAGGCGGUAGCUGUUGGGCCCCCGCGCGCUGUUGCUCGUCCACAGCACGUCGCCGCCGCCGCCGGAGAACACGACCAGGUUCCCGCUGCUCUGCAGCUCCGCGCGGCAUGCGGUACCCUUGCGGUCGGUCUGCGACGACCAGAGCGCCCGGCUCUUGUUGACGUACAGCACCAGGUUGCAGUCGGACUGCAUCACGAGCGUGUACGGGCCCCUCUCCAGAAACUGGCCUGCAGUCAGGCUUUCCCCUGAAAAUAUCAUGUCCUCCGCUGCGACUGACAGAAUAAUCAUCAACAAAAUCAUCGUCGCAGUCGCAUUCGGUGCGAAUCGAAAUGCCACCAUAUUGGUGCUGGAUCUUAUUAUUAUUAUUAUUGCUGUUGUUUUCUUUUAUUAUUGCUGUGUUGUUCAUCUUGCUGAGCUAUUUUUAUAGACGUGAUCCUACCCUUUAACGGGCUUGUAUUUAAUGCUGUGUUCAAAUAAACAAGAGGCUUCGUUUGGUUUUAUCCUUUUUUUUAUUUUUUUAAACAUUAAUUUUAUAUGACUUUGGUGCGUUGGAGAGUUUUUUUUGUUGUCAAAUAACUAUUUUGGGUGAAAUGAUCAUAAGCAAUUUUUUUACCCACUUCCAUAUUUUUAGAUAUAUAACAUUCUUUUUUAGAAAAAAUAUAUACAAUACCAAAUGAGGCCUAACCGAGCGAAAAAAAAAAAAAAAAAAACUUUGCAAGGUAUUUGGUGAAUUUCAAAUAUUUGUAGGAAUUUCAAGUAACUAUAAUAUAUUUGUUUUGACAACACUAAUUUUUAAAAUAUACGUGCAAAAAAAAGGAAAAGAAAAUUAGUUUAUUGUUUGAUUUUAUUCAAAAUAGCAUUGAAAAAAAAAAUAAAUUUCAAAUACCAUCUCUGUAGUUUCUUACUUUCUAACUUUAGUAACCUACAGCUUAAAGCGUAUCAAUUUAGUAUUCUGUGACAUCCUGUGGUUUUAUUUUUCUCUUUUCGUCAGCUCCUUCGUUAGCAUUUCGUUAAAUUAUAUACAAAAAUUUCAAAUAUCCACAUAAAUUUAUCGAAUAUCCAAUUUAGUAUCUUUUAGUUUUAACUUUGUCACUGAAUUUACGAAAAAAAAUAGUAAAAAAAUAAUAAAAAAAUAAAAAUAAAAUUAUGGAAGUAGUAAAUUAAUACACUUUAAAUUAUAUGGUACUAAAAUAAGAAAAAUGUAAUCCAGAGAUAGAAUUUAAAGUCUUUUUUUGAAAAAAUAAAAAUGGUUUGUUAAAGUGGGUCCUCGUAGUGGGUAAGGUUCAUUGUUAGCUUUAACGGACUUUGUUCAUUAGUCAACGCCGCCGAGUAUGAAUUAUAUAUAUAAAUGAUGAUGACGCAGCCGUACAUCAUCUUCAACGUUAUCUGGUGGAAAUUGUGGACUCUUUGGUCAAAGGUGUUCACUCCUUUUCCAUUGCAAGUCAAUCAAGUGGUAGUUUGGCGACACCUGCUAUAGACUCUACGAAAGACGGCGAGUUCUGCUGUAUCAAACGAACUCGACUUCCUGCGUCGGGAUCGUAAAGUCGCGAGUUCGCGCCGCAUCCAAACUCGCCGUCACGCGAGACUGUCUUGCCCGGAAGGAGAGAUGUCAAUCGAUAUAGAUAUCCGAAAUUUUAUCCGAAUUCGAACCCGAAUGAAACGGAUAUAUCCGAUGGAUAUGGAUAUGGAUUCGAAUAUGGAUAUAAAAAAUAGAAAUCCAACGGAUAUGAAUUCGGAUAUGGAUUUUGAUUGUACCCGAACCGAACCCGAACCCGAACCCGACCCGAACCCGAAUUUAUUUUGUAUUAUAUAUAUAUAUAUAUAUAUAUAUUUGAUGUUAUAUUUGAAUUUGUAUUUUAAAAAUUUAGAUUUAAUAUAAUAUAUUUUGAAAUACUUAAAAUAGAAAUAAUUGUUUCGGGUUCAAAUUUUCAGAUUCGGGUUCGGGUUUCGGAUUUUUGGUCGGAUUCGGAUUUGGAUAUGGAUUUUUAAAAUCCGUUGAGUUCGGAUUCGGAUUCAGGUCUCGGGUUUGGAGUCGGAUUUGGGUUCAGAUUUUUAAAAAUCCACCCCGAAUCUGACCCAUUGACAUCUCUACCCGAAAGUGGACCGUUUGGGCCCACCGACUUUCAAGAUCAUAGCGUCGCCCAAAUGCCGGCGGCUUUACAGCUGGACCCCAGCUUCUGUAGAAAGAGACAUGCCUUAUUAAAGUUUAGGCGUAGGACGUCGAAUCGGAAAAUCUACGAAAUCAAAUCAAUUCACUGAUUUUUUGAUUUAAAUUUAAUUGAAUUUUGCUUGUAAAUGGUAUAAGUAUUGGUUUACAAAAUUAAAUUGAAAGAACAGAAGAGUAGGUUUGAAAUUGCCAAACUUUCCAUACUAUUAUUGUAUCAUUCCUCUCAUCUAUGGCUAGAGAUUCUUUGAUAUAUGCAGAGUUUGGACUUCAUAUUAAAUUUGUGAAAAAGCAAAGAAAGCAUUUGAAUUCAGGAUUUUUUUACUAAGAUACUAAGUCCAACAUUUGGUCUCUAAAAUUAAACUAAAAGUUUCACAAGAUUUUGUUUUAAUAUUUAAUAUUCAACGCACACCAAAAGUGACAUGGACAUGUUCCAUUUGGAAACAUGCUUGAUUUAUUUUAGUUUACUUUGAUGUAAAUAGAGUAGCACAUUGAAGUGAUCAGUUUGUUUUUUUGAGAAAAAGUUGUUUUUUAAGAGAAAGGUAGUAUGGUUCAAGAAUAGUACGAAUUUUGAAAAUAUGCUUCUAAUUUUUUUAUCAUUGGAUUAAUAAUUAUAUGGUUGGAAUGAUUGCGGUUUUCUUAAGGAUUGAGCAGUAUCUAUAAAGUUGAGUGGUUUCUACAAGGUACUAGGAGGUGAUCUAAGGGCUAAAAAGUCGAAAGCACUAGAUCCUCUAUGCUUGCAAUAGCCUAGUACUCUCUCUCUCUCUAUAUAUAUAUAUACAGAGAGAGAGAGAGAGUGAGAGAAUUAUGCUAUUAUACUAUCGAUAGUAUCAAGUGCUUGGUGUCAUCGAGUUUUCGGCCGUUGAAUGAAAGAAUGUACGGUUAAGAUGAUAGUAGUCUUCUAGGGUUGAGCACGUGGUUGGUUGAAUAGUAUAAUCUAACGGAUGAAAAUGAUCAAAGGAUAGAUCUAAUGGCAGAAAAUUUGAUAGCAUCAAGAGUUUGAUACUAUCGAUAACAUAAUCACCUUACUCUCUCUCUCUCUCUCUCUCUCUCUAUAUAUAUAUAUAUAUAUAUAUUCCUUAAAAUGCAAUGGACCCAAAUCCGAGCACAAACAAAAGAUUUUAAAUUGUUUGGCUAUGUUUAUUAAUCCGAGCCCAAGGUGCACUUCCUUAAAAUGCAAUGGACCCGAAUCCGAGCAACAAACAAAAGAGUUUAAAUUGUUUGGUUAUGUUUAUUAAUCCGAGCCCAACAUCAGUGAGCCUAACAUUAACCUAUCACUACCCGAAAAGGUCGGAAAAUUAAAUCUCGCAAUUGUUUUAUUUCGCUAAAUUUUCUGGUGAUCUAAGAAGCAAUAUAUCAAAUUAAUUUUCGUACUCCAUCAUUUUGACUUUAUGUAACUAUACGGAUUAUCCAAUUUUUAAUUCAGCAGUUUAAUUUAAGUGGCAACAUUAAUUUGGAAUCUUAAAUCUGCAAGCAAAUAUAAUUAUGCGGAUCUAAAACUCCCCUGUCUCUAGCAGCUAAAAGACAAAAAAAAAAAAAAGGUAUAAAUAAAAAAAGUUGUUACCUAGUAAAAAUGUAGAUAAUUGUGAACAGGGUUCAUAAAAUAAUUUUGUACAAUAGACUCUUUUAGGAUAUUAAAACAAGUAGACAUUCUCUAUUGCUCUCCUUUCCAUAACCAAUAAACCCAUUACACUACAAAAACAUUAUUGGCAUGGUGUCCCUUUCCAUCAAACUGUACAGCAUAUGAAUGGAAUAGGGCAUCCCCAACUAUUACUCACUAAAGAAGCAAAAACAAAAACAAAAAACAAAAAAAGUUUUUUUUUUUUUUUUUUUUUUUUUUUUUUUUUUUUUUUUUAUUAUUAUGAAAAAGACAACAGCUGGCUUGCAGAUUUAAAUGCCACAAGGGCACCAUAAAUAUAUCCUAACUAGAUUUCCUUCUCUCCGUUAAUUUUUCUGUUAAAUCAGUAAAAAAGUUAAAACUACAGUGUACUAAAAUAAAAAUUUGAUAAAUCAUAGGAUAUUAAAGUGAAUAUUCGAUAAAUCAUAGAUGAGUAUCUGAAGUUUCUUCUAUAUGAUUUAGCGGAGAGUUAACGGAGGUGCUGGCAGAAAGAAAAAAAUAAAAUUACAAGAUAUAAUUUUAUACUUUCUCCGUGCACUCUUUUCUCCUCUUUUUUUUUUUUCUUUUUUUUUUUUUUUCCGACAUGGUGCAAAUAUUUAAAUUUCACCCUUCAAUCGACAUUGAUUUCCGCAUAAUAUCGCAUAUCAAAUUUGAUUUGUUUGAAAAUGAAGAACAUAAAUAUUGUAUCGUUUAUUGCGAUUAGCUGCAUCUCGCAUUCUACACCUCAAAAGUUUACAUAUAAAAUCAUUCGAUUUCUAGAACAUAAUGAAUGAUGUGAAGGAAAACAUAAAUUCCGCGUUUCUNUUUUUUUUUUUUUUUUUUUUUUUUUUUUUUUUUUUUUUUAUUAUUAUGAAAAAGACAACAGCUGGCUUGCAGAUUUAAAUGCCACAAGGGCACCAUAAAUAUAUCCUAACUAGAUUUCCUUCUCUCCGUUAAUUUUUCUGUUAAAUCAGUAAAAAAGUUAAAACUACAGUGUACUAAAAUAAAAAUCUGACAAACUAGUGUCCGAGAACGUGACGUAUUUAGUUGAACUUAUUCAACUUAAAAGAUUAAGUCAUUAGGUCUGGACUCAUUAGUAUAAAUUAACUAUUUUUACUCUCAUAUAAUUAUUCGAAGUGAGAUCAUUUAUAUAUGAAUUUUUAACAUUCUCAACCAACAAACAAUAAUCUAUGUGCCAACUUGAAAGUAGGGCCUAGUGGUUGAAUCAGUCCUGCUUGUUGCUUGUUAGUAGAUAAUGAGAUUAACUUUUGUGCAUAAAUAAAAAAAAAAGCUUCAAAUACUAUUCCUGUGGCUUCGCGUUUUCUUACUUUAGUAUCCUAUAGUUUAAAGCAUAUCACUUUAGCGAGCUGUUUGAAAAAACGACACUAACAUUUUUCUAUCAAAGUGUUUGUUUACCAACUUAGCUACUGAAGUACACAAACAGAAACCUCAUUAUUUUAAGAAUCUAGAAAUAAAAAUGUAAGCCGUUAAAUGUGAACUUGAAUUUUUUUUUUUUUUUAGUUGCGACAUAUUUUUGCAGCAAAUUGAUUUUUAGAUUUUCUCAAAAGCACAUCUUGAUGAGGAGACAAAGCACGCUUAUUAGCUGCUGCUGCUGCUGCUGUUGCUGUCACAGGUGGUGUUUGUCGUUUUUUCUCACCAAACUCCGGGCCAGGUAAUGGGCUCUGAGGGGGCCCACACCCGGCCCAUGAAUAGCCCAAACUGCACGUAAGUGAAUGCUCCUGUCACAGCCGACCAUCCCAAAUGUAGUCCAUCAUCCUCCUCCAUGAUCCAUGACUACUCCACCAAUCGUUUUCCUCCUACACCCCACACACAAUUUUCUUUUUUUUUUUUAAAAAAAAAACUUUUCUAAAGAUAUUAAAAUUAGGGUUAAUUGCGUGCAGGUCUCUAUAAAUAUAGUGAAUUGAAAAUAUAUACUUACAGAGUUCAACUUCAUAUAUUGUUCUUACAAAGGUGUCCCUACCGUUAUAAUCCGUUAGUGGACCACUUUAUCCCUCUUAUUGGAGGGAGAUAUUUGUGAUGGCGAAAUUGACAUUUCACUUAUUUGCUAUUAAAAUAUAAACAGUUUUCUAACGAUAACAAACUAGAGGGAUAUAUUUGAAAAUAUUAAGACUUUUGUAGGGACAACAUAUGAAAUUUGAACUUUGUAGAGAUAUAUUUAUAAUUCACUAUGUUUGCAGGAACAUGUAUGCAUUUAACCUUUACAAUAAUCUCAAUUUUCUUGUCCAUUUUCGUAAGUAUUAGCAUUUGUCCGCCACUUGACAUUUUUUAGGUUCCGAUGUCUUUUUACUCAAAAAAAAAAAGAAGAAAAUAAAUAGCCACACUGGCGAGACAUGCUUAAUCUGGUGGAACUAUCAUUAUGUGUCGAGUUUAAUCAAAUUUAAUUAAGAAAUAAUAACUAAUUAAAUUCACUAAAUUUAUCGGUCAAUAUCUAAAUCAUUUAUAUUGAUAGCGUCGUUUUUUGUAGCUGGAAACCAUUUUUGAGGAAAUUGCGUCGUUUUCUCCAUUUCUUUCACUACAACAUCAUAUAUUAAUGUUUUAGCAUAUGAAAAAUAUUUCCAUAUAAUACAAACAAUUUUUUUUCCGAAAAGAUGGUUCGAAUGAACUUAUCAGCAUAUAAUGAAGCUCCAUGUUUAUCCAUUUUUGCUGACAUAUCCGUGGGAAUUAUUGUACCUUACUAUCCGAGUUGUUUUCAAUGUCUACAUAUUUGUACUCAAAAUCUUAGAGAAGAUCACUUCGAUUGUCACUAGCAUUGAUCAGUAAAAUGAUGCGAGCAAUCGAAAUAUAUAAUUAAACAAGAAAACGCCUUUAUAACACUUUGAAUCACCAAAUAUCCCAUCUUAGUACAGUCAAAAACUGGGGAAAUAAAGAUGCUACAUACACACACUAGUUUUACAAGAAUUCGCUUUUGGGAGAAGCAUGAUGUUGCCUAGUUAUAUGUUAUUCCUAAAGUGAGAGCGCACUAAAACAACCCCACUUGUCAAUGUUUAGGGGGGGAGAAAAAGGGCUCACUGUAGAUAAUAUGAUUUAAGUUUGGGCCCACAAUGGAAUGAGAGUCCAAAAUAAUUCAAAACCUUGGUGUGCGUGCAAUCCAAAAAAAAAAAAAAAAAAAAAAUCAUCUGUACACCAGGUGUAUUUGCAUGUCUCAUGGACCGUACUUAGUACUUAAAAGGUUAUGUCGCAGUGUCAAAUCUGUUCCGAUAGAAGUGAUCCGUAAUAUUUAAGGCUCCGUUUGGUUCAGGCGAUAAGCGGAGAUAACACAAGUUAUCUCCACUAUUCCGCCAAAAGGAGUGAUGUUUUACCGGAAUAUUUUAUCCAGGUCAAAUUUUGCUAUUUUCGGUUAUUCCGGAAUAGUAAGAAAUUUGCUCUUUCAAUUCUUAAUUUCAAACUUAAUUAAAAUUAUAAAUUGAAUUAAAACUAAAUUAUAUAAAUAUAGUAUGUUAUAUAUUAUAAUACAUAAUUUUUAUUAUAAAAUUAUUAAUUGUACUAUAUUAAUACAUAUUAUUUAUAUUUAAAUAUUAUAAUAAAUUUUAUAUUAUCAAAUUCAGGAACUCUUACAACAAAGGGGCUUUAAUACUGAGUUGAUACUAUAUUAUCUAAAAGAUCGAUCUGAUUAAAAACAUACUUAGAAUAGUUUUAGCAUAUAAUACAUAUUAUGAACUAAACUUUGACUAAAAACCUUCAUAUAGCAAGGUUUUAAAGGUGCAGUGCCUAGUGCAUCAUGUGGUUUGAUGCUUAAUUUCUUCUUGAAGCUCUCCACUCCUUUCCAAGAUGGUCUCCGUGCCAACCUUUGGUGGAAAGGCAUUUAUCGUCGGCGAUCGCGCGAGAGUAUGGUGUCAUAUAGUGAAAAAGCAGAUAUAGUUGUACAUUUCACGCACUCUAUAUACAUAUAAUUUUAAAAAAUCGAGAGCAUGAUCUUCUGAUUUUGUAGUCAAUUUUCCCUUGAAUUUUUUCGGCGAUAUACCAUUGUAAUCCCGUCCACGCCACGUAUUCAAUAACAGUGAGUACGUUGUUCGUGGUACGUAGUUGGACGAUGAAGAUUGGAAGAUGAGGUGAAAUAAACGUUCGAAGGGCGUAGGAGAGCACGGGACGUAUGAAUGCACCGCGUCCAAGCAAAUAUUUUUUGAAUGCAGUGGGUGGUUACCCUUCCCUCCUCCUCCCUUCUAUUUGCGAAAGAAAGUGUGCAUACGCGAGAGAGGAGAAAAAGAGAGUCAUGCGCCGGCCUAUUUUGUAAAGUGAAGUGGCGCCUCUCCUGUCCCGCUUUCUUUCGAGUGGGCGGUCGCAUCCCCGACCCCAUCUUCGCAUGCACAGGUUCUAGAUUUAAGCUCAUACUACUUAGGCUUGAACCUCUGACCUCAUUAUCGACACCAAAGUUUAUUAAAUAGAAUUAACUAGAUUAUUUUGAACACAAGCCAUAGCGCAACACGUAGAAAACUACUAUUCUUUGGAGAUUAAUAAAUUACGAGGGAGAUUACUAAAUCAUGGUGCGCAGAUGGAUGUACGGAAGAGGCAGAUGCAUGGAGAUAAAUACAAUUGUGUUAGCUUUGAUGGUUGUUAACAAUUUAAUUUAUUCCUUGCUUAAAAGUAGAGCUACAAGUACAUAACAAGAUGUUUCUUUAUAGAUAUAUUAGAGAGAUGAGAAAAGGUCAAUUGGAUUCUAACAGUUAUAAAUUAAAUUGUCACUAAAUGCCAACCAAGUCCUCCUCUAGGUUAGAAAAGUAUUGUGAGGUACAAUUAUACCAUCAUAAUUAUUGAUAUUGAUAUUCGAGACUAGUAUAUGUAUAUUUUUAGCAAUUAUAUAAUCAAGUUUCAAUAAAUAUAAACUUUCCAUCAAUAUCAACAUCUUAGGUCUGGUUUCGAAAUGUAUUGUCCAAACAUACUCAAAAAUAGUGGUCGAGAACGUAAUAAAGAAGCAUCCUUUUCUAAGAUAUAAACUAGGUGCAUUUAGGUACCGUUUGGUUUGGGUAUAAGCAAGAACUAGCUAUUACAGGGAUAGGUACAAGUAUGGGGAUAAGAAAAAUAGUGUUUGGAUGAAAAUUGGGUUGUUCUCGGAGAUAAGAACAAUUUUAGGUAGUUUUAUAUAGAAAAUGAAGGUGUUGGUGGGGAUAACCGAGACUAUUAUUCUCGGGUAAAAAAUUAGCGUUUGGAUAUAAAGGGGGGGAUAAGGGCCUAUUCCUAUCCCUAUCUCCUAACCAAACGCUGAGAGAACAUAUUUACAGACUAGGUCUUAUUAAUUUCUGGAUGUUGCAAUGCUUAUCUAAGUUUUAGGGCUAUAGAUGGGAUCUAGAAUGAACAAAUUGGCUCGAUUUGGGUUGGAUCUAAGAGGUAAAACCAUAUGAUCUUCCAUAUAUGGCCUAGAAAAGUAAAGCUUAAUAAAAAAUAUUGGUGUAAUAAUUAAGAUACUCAUCAAUUUAAUAAGGAACUCUCUUUAUUUAAUAAAAAGUGGUCUUCAAAAGAAGUUAGAGAUCGAUUCCUUUCUCACUCACUAUAGCUAGGCAUGUCUUUAAUUGCCUUGACCAACUUUAAGCACAUAUUUAAGAGGUGUCUCAAAUUAAGCUAACUCUUUGCACAUGUGUCCCUCCAAAACUCAUAUUUCAUCUGUGUCCCUGAAAAAUAUAUGUAUAUGCAUGCACAAAUACGUGUACGUAUAAUUUUUCUAUCAAAUACACACAUGUUAAUAGCUAAUUUUCCCAUCUAGGUUAUCUUCAUCAUGGAAACUAUAUCUAUAACUGUUGGUGAGAUUCCUCCUUAAUCUCGCUUCUCUUUUACGAUAUAUAUGAUCUUGAAUUUGCUCCCUAAGUUGAAAACUUUUUCAUUUUACUUAAGUGACAGGUGUUUUUUUUUCAAUUUUUUUUUUCAAUUUUUUUCCCUUUAGAUAGUGAUGUAUCAACUUUUCUUAGCUCACUCAAUCCAAAUUAUAUGGUCACUGGACUAGUGACUCAUCUAUCUGAUUCUGAGGUCAUUUUCUUCUUUGUAGGAGAUAUCUAGUUAGUUUACCAGGUCCCAGUACAUUAAAUUUUUAUUUUAUUUUUUUAUUUUACCAUGAGGAUGGAAAGAAAAUUAAGUGGCAUUAAUUGCAUCAUAUUUUGGCAAAGCUUAGUUCACCAAGAGACUUACAUCCUCUAAAGAGUAAUAAUUUUGAUAGAAUAGGGCCCUAGCUAUAUCCCUUCUACCUCUAGACAAAAGUUACAAGUUUCUUAUUGUUAGUUUAUUACUUGGUUUCAUCUAAAUAGAGUGGUGACUUCAAAUUUGGAAAAAGAAUUGAACACAAUUUAGGAUUUAGACGACUAGAUUUGUCGAAUUAAACACCCGGCCAUUCCUCGAAUUUACGGUAGGUUUUUGAGAAUUUCCAAUUUAGUUUUUGCAAUCAAUGUAUCACUUGUUAUUAUAGUUGGAGUUAGGAGUAACACUUAAUGAGAGUUUGGUGUUUUGGUUGAAUCUUCAAUAAUUGGUCCAAAGUAAGCUCAAGAUAUUUUCUCUGGUCAGGUAUUGAUCACCUGAUAUUUGGUUGGUGAAUUAUGGUAUAUAUAUGUAGGCAAGCAUGUUUAUCAUCCCUAGCUAGAUACUAUUAGGAAUUGCUCAAUAAAUAAUGCUACACCAUUUAGUUCUGUUUUAAGACAGGAGACUUAUUGAAACCACUUAUCAUGUCAUUCGUCAAUACGUCGUUGUUCAACGUAACUCCUCCUUUAAAAGCACGUUUUGUUGUCAUGCGUUUAUUUUGUUUUCAUUCAAUAAUUCAGUCAGCAUUUUCAAGGAAGAGAUGCUUAAUGUAUCCUAAAUUUGGAACUUUAUUACUUUAUUGAUUUGUUGGCGCUCACAUAUUUAGGAUUUAAAGUUUAAAACUUAUGGUAUAAUAAUGAUAUGAUGCUUAGAGUUUAGCGGUGAUAUUCAGGAUUUAGUAACGAUAUUUAGUGUACAUUAAUGAUGUUGCCAUGCCAUCUAUGACAUUACGAGGAACUCCAAACGGGUAGCUAUAACGUAAAGAAUUAUAAUCUUUGAAUAGAGAUAAAAUUGAUACAUAAAAUCAAAUCGGAGGUUUCUAAAUGAGAUGUAUUGAGCACUCACCACUGAAGUUUAUUUAAUUCCUAAAUUCGAAUCAUAUUUAGAAAUCAUUUGAUGAAUAAAUAAAUCUAGAUCGUCUACUAAUGCUGAAGUAAAAUGUUGUCGUGUGUGCAAUUGUGUACAUGCGGGGAGGGGGAGAGGGUUCUAAACACUUUGUUUUAUUCAAAUAAUACUUCUACAAUAUAUAAUCUUAACAAUAUUCAUAAUAUACCGACCAUCCCUUACGCAAGUGGCAAAAGGAUUUGAUGGUUGGUACCCGAAACCCAAGUUCGAAUCCUAGUUGAUUCACAUUUCCAGCUAAAUUUAUUUCUAAAUGAAAUAAACGAAAUAGAUAGCAUACUACCUUUCUCUCAAUAAUAAUAAUAAUAAUAAUAAUAAUAAUAAUAUUCGUAAUAUUUCAAUAAAGAUAAUUAUUUCAUUGGCAAAUUUGGUAUGUCAAAUAGGCUCACUGAAAAGGCAAAAACUAUAAACAAUACUUCUAUAGUAACUAGCCUUAACAACAUUCUCAAUAUUUAAAUAAAGAAAACUAUUUUGUUGUCUAAUUCGCGAGCCAAAUAAGCUCAUCGAAUCGGCAAAAACUGCCGAAUGAAAUAAUAAUUAAUGAUUUAAUAUCACAAAUUAAAUUUUAAUUAAUAGUUUUUAUUUGGGAAUAAAUUUGUUUUAGAAAAAAAGGUGGAACAACAGUUUCUGCCGUAUAUCGAAUUAUAUCAGCUUAUUUUAAAAAUUGAAUAACUAUUAUUAUUGAAUACAAAAAGUUACGUUUGAGAGCAAGAAAAAGAAUAAGGGCUUAUUUUUACACUUGUUUUCGAAUCAAACACUGGCUAGAAAAAUAGUCCAUUACAUAACCAAAACACGCCAUCAAAAAUGUAAAAAAUGUUUUAAAAUCAAAACUUUUAAAAUUCACGGUUAUUUUAAAGAUAAAAUUUAAACAAUUUCUUUUCUUCUUUUUUUUUUUAACUUGUUUUUCUCAUUAUUGGGAUUCAACCGAGUACGGCCUCCGUCCUCUUCCCUUUCGCUCUGCGACGCUAACAACCGCAUCACUGCUGUAAGACCACCUUUUGGAAUCCCCAGACAUGUGGGCCCCACCCGUCGUCAUGCUGGUAACCUCUAGGUGUAACCGUUACUCUGAAUACUGUUAAUCACCACCGUACGUUUGGCAUCUAAAACCCCACCACCGCGAAAAUUCCCACGACGAGCAUCCGAUGGCUCCUGUUCACCGACUCUUUUUCCUCCUCCCUCUUUUUUCUUUUUCUUUUUCUUUUUCUUUUUUUAUUUUUAUUUUUGAAAAAAAAUUAUAUUAUUAUUUAAUUUUUAAAUACGAAAAGGUAACGCUUCCCUCUCCCUCAUUAUAUUCCCCCAAAGCGCUCCUCCUCCCAUUCCAAUCCCUACAAUCGCCGACAAUGUCUUCUUCUUUUUCCUUCUAAACUAAACUUUUUAUUUGAAUUUAAAUUUUAAAUUUGAAGUUCGAUUUUAAGUACGUACCUCUGUUUUUGAAUUUGGAGAUGGGGAAUCUCCGGCGCGGUGGUUCCGGGAACGCGGGGCUCCGCGCGCGCGUGGCUCGUGCCGCCCUACCUCUUCAUCACCGUCCACCUCAUCAUCCUCGUCAUCUGGAGGCUCUCCGACCACAAGCUCCACCGCGACCACUCGCCGCCGCCGGCGCAAGAGGCGGCGGAGGAGCCGGCCGCGAAGCCCCGGGAUCUCGCGCGCAAGCCCACGCCGGAAUCGUGGCACGAGGAUCCGGCGCCGCCGCCGGAGUCGUCGGAGUCGUCGUCGUGUGUCACCACGGAGUCCGAUGAGGGAUCCACCGCGUCCUCGCGCGUGCUCGGCCUCAAGAGGAGCGUGAAACCCUCGCCGGGGAGCGUCAUAAGGGUCGAGGAGGAGGAGGAGGAGGAGGAGGAGGAGGCGGCGGCGACGGUGGGUGGGGACGAGUUGACGCGGCGGUUCGAGGACUUCAUCAGGAGGAACCACGACCAGAUCCGGCUCCAGAGGGAGGAGAUGAUGAUGAAGAAUCAAAAGAUGCGUUAAAUCGAAUCCAAAAUCCCAAUUAAUGAAGCUCUAAUUGAAGGGAUUAAUUACAAGUGUGUUCUCUCUCUUGGUGUUUUUAGAUCUCUCUUAGAUGGAGAGAAAACACACACACAACCAAAUUUUCAGGUAAUUAAUUUCGUUUUAACCAAUUUCACCAAUAAAAUUUGGUCUCCUAAUUUUUCUAAUUUAAAUUAUGUUUAUCAGUUAAACUGGAGGUUCCAUCACAUUUAAGAGCAAUUUUAGUACAUUUAAUAUUUCAAAUACUAUUUUUGCCUAAUAGAGUUAUUAUAGAUUUAUUAGAGUUUAGGGGCUUUAAUUGAUUUAUUAUUAGAGUUUUUAAUAUUUUAAAAACUUCUUGUGGUAAAGGAUUCAAAAUUUGAAAUUAUUUUUUCCCUACUUUUUAUUAAAAAA